rnacentral:misc_RNA from 1 species
GAAGACUCAGAAAACUGAUGAGUUGAUGUUUUACUCUUUUCUUCUCCCCUUUGAAAAAAAAAAAUAGUACAGCAUUGUUGAAGAUUCAAUUGAAGGUGUACUCUCUCAAUAUACACAUUUUGUGUAAAAGAAACAAGAAGAAAGAGACGUGAAGCUCUCUGUUUGUGCAUAGCUUUUUGUUCUAAUCAAUGUAUUUUCACUUAAAAAGGCUUCCUCGGUUUUUGUUUUUCCUC